UACGGAGGAUGCAAGCGUUAUCCGGAAUGAUUGGGCGUAAAGCGUCCGCAGGUGGCGAUGUAAGUCUGCUGUUAAAGAGUGAGGCUCAACCUCAUAAGAGCAGUGGAAACUACAUAGCUAGAGUACGUUCGGGGCAGAGGGAAUUCCUGGUGUAGCGGUGAAAUGCGCAGAUAUCAGGAGGAACACCGGUGGCGAAGGCGGGUCUCUGGACAACUCCUGACACUGAGGCACGAAAGCUAGGGGAGCAAACAGG
rnacentral:rRNA from 1 species